rnacentral:rRNA from 1 species
AUUGAACGCUGGCGGCAUGCCUUACACAUGCAAGUCGAACGGCAGCACGGGGCAACCUGGUGGCGAGUGGCGAACGGGUGAGUAAUGCAUCGGAACGUACCUUUCAGUGGGGGAUAACGUAGCGAAAGUUACGCUAAUACCGCAUAUUCUGUGAGCAGGAAAGCAGGGGAUCGCAAGACCUUGCGCUGAUUGAGCGGCCGAUGUCAGAUUAGCUAGUUGGUGAGGUAAAGGCUCACCAAGGCGACGAUCUGUAGCGGGUCUGAGAGGAUGAUCCGCCACACUGGAACUGGGACACGGUCCAGACUCCGACGGGAGGCAGCAGUGGGGAAUUUUGGAACAUGGGGUCAACCCUGAUCCAGCCAUGCCGCGUGAGUGAAGAAGGCCUUCGGGUUGUAAAGCUCUUUCGGCCGGGAAGAAAUCGCACGGGCUAAUACCCUGUGUGGAUGACGGUACCGGAAUAAGAAGCACUGGCUAACUACGUGCCAGCCGCCGCCGUAACAC